rnacentral:tRNA from 1 species
GGAUAGCUCAGUUGGUUUGAGCGUUGAAUUGUAAUCUAUAAGUCCCGGGUUCGAUUCCCGGGCUGUUCA